UACAGAGGUCCCAAGCGUUGUUCGGAUUCACUGGGCGUAAAGGGUGCGUAGGUGGCCAGGUAAGUUUGGUGUGAAAGCUCGGAGCUUAACUCCGAAAAGUCAUUGAAUACUAUCUGGCUGGAGGGUCGGAGGGGAGACUGGAAUUCUCGGUGUAGCAGUGAAAUGCAUAGAUAUCGAGAGGAACACCAGUGGCGAAGGCGAGUCUCUGGACGACUCCUGACACUGAGGCACGAAAGCUAGGGGAGCAAACAGG
rnacentral:rRNA from 1 species